UACGAAGGGGUGCAAGCGUUACUCGGAAUUACUGGGCGUAAAGCGUGCGUAGGCGGUUUGUUAAGUCUGAUGUGAAAGCCCCUGGGCUCAACCUGGGAAUGGCAUUGGAUACUGGCAACCUAGAAUGUGGUAGAGGGUGGCGGAAUUCCCGGUGUAGCAGUGAAAUGCGUAGAUAUCGGGAGGAACAUCCGUGGCGAAGGCGGCCACCUGGACCAACUUGACGCUAGGCACGAAAGCGUGGGGAGCAAACAGG
rnacentral:rRNA from 1 species